GACGAACGCUGGCGGCGUGCUUAACACAUGCAAGUCGAACGAAGUGGCGAACGGGUGAGUAACGCGUAAUCAACCUGCCCUUCAGAGGGGGACAACAGUUGGAAACGACUGCUAAUACCGCAUACUGAUGAGGGGGAUUGCGUCUGAUUAGCUAGUUGGAGGGGUAACGGCCCACCAAGGCGACGAGCAGUAGCCGGUCUGAGGGGGUGAACGGCCAAAUCUGGACUGAGAAACGGGCCAGACUCCUACGGGAGGCAGCAGGUGGGAAAUUUCCGCAAUGGACGAAAGGCCGAAGAAGCAACGCCGCGUGAGUGAUGACGGCCUUCGGGUUUUAAAGCUCUGUUAAUCGGGACGCGGUACCGGAAUAGAAAGCCACGGCUAACUACGUGCCAGCAGCCGCGGUAAUAC
rnacentral:rRNA from 1 species